rnacentral:rRNA from 1 species
AUUGAACGCUGGCGGCAGGCUUAACACAUGCAAGUCGAGCGGUAACAGAGAGAAGCUUGCUUCUCUGCUGACGAGCGGCGGACGGGUGAGUAAUGCCUAGGAAUCUGCCUAGUAGUGGGGGAUAACUUGCCGAAAGGUAAGCUAAUACCGCAUACGUCCUACGGGAGAAAGGAGGGGACCUUCGGGCCUUUCGCUAUUAGAUGAGCCUAGGUCGGAUUAGUUAGUUGUUGGGGUAAUGUCUCACCAAGACCGCGAUCCGUAACUGGUCUGAGAGGACAAGCACUCAGACUGGAACUGAGACACGGUCCAGCCUCCUCCUGGAGGCAGCCGUGGGGAAGAUUGGCCAAUGGAGGGAAGCCUGAUUCAGCCAUGCCGCGUGUGUGAAGAAGAUCUUAGGAUUGUAAAGCACUUUAAGUUGGGAGGAAUAGCAGUUAACUAAUAUUUGACUGUUUGGACGUUACCGACAGAAUAAGCACCGGCUAACUUCGUGCCAGCCGCCGCCGUAA